AUUGAACGCUGGCGGAAUGCUUUACACAUGCAAGUCGAGCGGCAGCACGGGGGCAACCCUGGUGGCGAGCGGCGAACGGGUGAGUAAUACAUCGGAACAUGCCCAGUCGUGGGGGAUAACACUUCGAAAGAAGUGCUAAUACCGCAUACGUCCUGAGGGGGAAAGCGGGGGAUCGCAAGACCUCGCGCGAUUGGAGUGGCCGAUGUCAGAUUAGCUAGUUGGUGGGGUAAAGGCCUACCAAGGCAACGAUCUGUAGCUGGUCUGAGAGGAUGAUCAGCCACACUGGGACUGAGACACGGCCCAGACUCCUACGGGAGGCAGCAGUGGGGAAUUUUGGACAAUGGGGGCAACCCUGAUCCAGCCAUGCCGCGUGAGUGAAGAAGGCCUUCGGGUUGUAAAGCUCUUUCGGCAGGAACGAAACGGUGAGCUCUAACAUAGCUUGCUAAUGACGGUACCUGAAGAAGAAGCACCGGCUAACUACGUG
rnacentral:rRNA from 1 species